rnacentral:rRNA from 1 species
AUUGAACGCUGGCGGCAUGCCUUACACAUGCAAGUCGAACGGCAGCGCGGGAGCAAUCCUGGCGGCGAGUGGCGAACGGGUGAGUAAAGCAUCGGAACGUAUCCGGGAGUGGGGGAUAACGUAGCGAAAGUUACGCUAAUACCGCAUAUUCUGUGAGCAGGAAAGUGGGGGACCGCAAGGCCUCACGCUUUCGGAGCGGCCGAUGUCGGAUUAGCUAGUUGGCGGGGUAAAGGCCCACCAAGGCGACGAUCCGUAGCGGGUCGGCGAGGAUGCUCCGCCACACUGGGACUGAGACACGGCCCAGACUCCUACGGGAGGCAGCAGUGGGGAAUUUUGGACAAUGGGCGCAAGCCUGAUCCAGCCAUGCCGCGUGAGUGAAGAAGGCCUUCGGGUUGUAAAGCUCUUUCGGCGGGGAAGAAAUUGCUCAGGUUAAUACCUUGAGUAGAUGACGGUACCCGCAUAAGAAGCACCGGCUAACUACGUGCCAGCAGCCGCCGUAAGAC